UUCAUCUCCGUCUGGCGCGAGACCUGCUCCUCCACCGCCUCUCCUCGCCCAUAAAUAGCGCCCACCGGAUGGUUUAUUCCCCUCGCGCUCUGGUUUUCAUCUCUUCGCGUCGGUGUUGCUGUUCAAGCGCCUCACCUGUCCCCCUGUCUUCCCCUUUGCCCCUUCGUCGCCGCGGCGCGUUUGCGUUUUCCAAUUCUUCCUUGUCUAUACUGUCUCCGUUUGGACUUCGAGCUGGUUCGGUUUCGACUUCGGCUGAUCUGUUCCGCUGCUGUUGCCCUUCCUUGUUCUCGCAGAUCUCCAUCGGGCGUUCCGCUUUCGUGCGACGCGGGGAGCGAGCCUUUGUUCGGUUGCGGGGUUGUUGGGUUUGCGGUUUAUUUUUUCCCCUGCGAUUCGUCUAGUCAUCGUGUGCAGUUCGUCUAGUCAUCGUGUCGAUCUUGUUUCGUCCCGUCUUCUCAUCGCGUGGGUUGCAGGAUUGGAUCCGAUCUGGUGUUGGGAGUUCGUCAUGUUCGCCAGAACUCGGAAGCAGGUCAGUGUUCUGUCAGAUCCGACGGUUCAUUGGUUUUGUCACUUGGAAAGCAUGGAUUCGGUGGUUUCAGGCCCAAUCGUCUCCCGGUGUGGUACCACCAGAAAUUGUCACUUGGACAUGGAUUCGGUGGUUUCAGGUUCAAUCGUCUCCCGGUGCGGUAGCAUCAGAAACCGAUAGUGCAGUUGUGGCCUGCACACCAGGUGGAUUUGGAGAACCUUCGGUACAUUCUUAUGUUAACGGCUGAUCUCGCUUGUGGCCUUUUGGUUGUUUGUCCUCCUUAAACUUCAGAUGCAAGAAGGUCUUUGCUGGUUAUGGAGAGAUCAGUUGAAGGGUGGAGGUUUGCUUAUGGUUCAUUCGUCGUUUCUCAUUCUGAUAUCAUCAUAUUGGUGCGAAGAUUAGCAUUUAGCACCGGACUUACUCUAAGCUUGAUUGGAAAUGCUGCUAGCUAGAUCUGCAGAGGCAACAUAGUUUUGGAAGUAGGUUGAGCCGUUGACUGGACUGGAGUUCGUAGUAUUGGAGAGAAGAUCGUUUGGAUAUAUUUACCUAUCGCCGUUCAUAUUAUUAAUUUUCUAUCCGUUGCAAUUUUAAUUUCUUACAUUGGGGUGAUGGUUUUCUCCAGCAACUUGAUUAAAUGGAUGGAUGGGUUGGAGGCAAGUUUGAUCCUGCUUCUGUUUAAGCAAUCAGAAGUUCGGAAUUGGUCUGAGUUCCUUGUGUUUGUUCACUAACCAUCCUCCUGUAGAUGUUCUAAAAUUAACUGCACACAUAAGCUCCCUUCAAUGCUUCGUUACUGAAUCUGCAGUUUUGGGAUAUAUCAAUUCAGAGUUGUGUGGAGGUUUGCUUACGUUCCUUGGUUUUGAUCUGAUAUAUAUGGCUAUUUUUAUGUUGAUCAUGGUGGCGUGAAGAUUGCCACCAGACUAAGCUUGAUUGUCCUUAAUUGGAAAAAUGCAGUAGAGGCAAUUGAGGUGAUGUUUUGGACCUGGGUUGAAGCUUUGACCUGACUAAGUUCAUGACAUGCUGAUAACAUUGUUGGGAUAUAUGUAUCUCUCACACUUCUAUUGGUACUCUUAAUUUCUUGUUUCUUAUAUUUGGGCUGAUGUUUUUCUCCAGCAACUGGAUUACAACAUCUGGAUUGUAUAUGGAUGGAUUGAAGCCUGAGUUUGGUCCUGCUUCUACAUGAACAAUAAUAAGUUCUGAACUAUUCAGGGUUCCCUUUUUGUUCAAAAAACAGUUCUAUCAUGUCAAAUGUUAGUUCACUCGUAGGCUACCUUCAAUGAUCCUAAUGUGAUCUGCAGUUUUGGAGGCAUCACAACAGAGAUAGGACUUCGCAGUUGAACUUGUCGGCGAAUGAUUGGACUUCAUCCUAUCCCACAUUAUUUGAUGAACGUUCAUGCUGUUUAAGUGUUCUAAGUGGUAACUAUCAAAUAUAUAGUUACCAGAGGGCGGUCUUGCUGAUUGCAGAUCUCUAGGUGGGAUAUUUGCAUGGGCACAGAAGGAACCCGAUCAAUUCAAACCUACAACAACCUUUAACUCUCACUGUGUUUGUUCAGUGUGUUCUACCUUGAAGUAGAUAAUGAUUGGGGUCUUCAUUGCAGGUCUUCUCAUAUUUUUGCAUGGGCUUGUCACGCCGCACGGAAUAUGGGCUGAGUACUAAACUUAUCCAAUUUACAAAAUGCUAGUAUAUGAACCAUGAUGAAAUUUCGUAUAAUUCGUAGUUGUAGAAGGCACUGGGUAUGUUUGGACGUGGGAGAUUCAAGCAGAUAUGGGUAGAACUACAACUUUGAUUUAAUCAAACGUGUUUCUGCUUCAUCAUGCUAUAUAUGCUCUGACUGAAGCUUUAAUUCUUGUGUUGCUAUCAUUUCUGCGUUCUGCAGAUCAUUUAGCUCAAGUAAUUGGUAGUCCAACGGUCAUGAUACUUGUUUUGGUUUGGGAUUAGCUUUAUCUACAUUUUUGUGCUCGCUUUUACAUGUGGUUGCAGGGUAAGUUUGGCAAUUGGAAAUCCCUGUAGCGAAGAACUGAUAUUUAAAACUGGGGGCAGGUCAGAGAUCAUUCCGGUUGCGUUGGUUCCAUCACUUGUUUUCAGUGAUUUUAGAUCUGAAUGGUUGGCUAACAUUCUGGCGCUCCAAUGAUAUCGCUGGUCCAAUGAUAUCACUGGUGUAGUAGUAGCAAGGUUUGAGAUGCAGGGAGGACAUUGGAGGUGGAUUUUCCUCGCACUCUGGUUUUUCAUCUCUUCGCGUCGAUGUUGCUAUUCAAGUGCCUCGCCUCGCAUGUCCCUGUCUUGCCCUUUGUCCAUUCGUCGCCAUGACGCCUUUGCGAUUUCCAUUUCUUCCUUCUCUGUACUCUCUGUUUUGACUUCGAGCUGGGUCGGUUUCUACUCCGGUUGAUCUUUUCUGCUGCUGUUGAGCUUCCGUGCUCUUGCAGAUCCCCUUGGGACGUUCAGCUUUCGUGCCACGCUGGAGUGGGCCUGCGUUCGGUGGCGGGAUUGUUGGGUUUGCGGUUUAUUUUUUCCGGCAAUUCGUCUAGUUCUCGUGUCGAUCUUGUUUCAUCUUCGCCUUCUCAGCGUAUGUGCUGCAGGAUUGGAUCUGAUAUGAGUUGUUUGUCCUCCUUAAACUUCAGAUGCAAGGAGGGUCUUUGCUGGUUAUGAAAAGAUCAGUUGAAGGGUGGAGGUUUGCUUAUGGUUUAUUCAUCGUUUCUCAUUCUGAUAUCAUGGUGCAAAGAUUAGCAUCGGACUUGCUCUAAAGCUUGAUGGAAAUGACGCUGGCUAGAUUUGCAGAGGCAACUUAGUUUUGGAAGUAGAUUGAGGUGUUGACUGGAGUGGGAGCUCGUAGCAUCGGCGAGAAUAUCGUUUGGAUAUAUUUACCUACCUCUCUUCAUAUUAUUAAAUUUCUAUCCGCUGCAAUUUUACAUUGGGGUGAUGGUUUUCUCCAGCAACUCAUGGAUAGAUGGGUUGGAGGCGAGUUUGAUCCUGCUUCUGCUUGUGCAAUCAGAAGUUUGGAAUUGUUCAGAGUUCCUUGUGUUUGUUCACUAACCAUCCUCCUGUCAAUGUUCUUUGAAAGUUAACUUCACACAUAGGCUCCCUUAAUGCUUCGUUAGUGAAUCUGUAGUUUUGGGAGAGGUCGGUUGAAGGGUGAAGGGUGGAGUUUGGUUGAAGGGUCGAGCUAUGCUUACGUUCGUCGAUUGAAGGGUGGAGGUUGUUUUUUUUCCAGCAACUGGAUUGUAUAUGGAUGGAUUGGGGCCUAAGUUCGAUUCUGCAUUCUGCAUGAGCAAUAAUAAGUCUGAGCUAUUCCUGUCAAAUGUUCUUGUUUCCUGUGUUUGUUCAAUAAUAACCAUAUCCUGUCAAAUGUUCUUGGAAAAUUUAGUUCCCUACUUCCCUCAUAGGCUACCUAGUACCUACUCUUUUAUUGGCACUCCUAAAUUUCUUGUUUCUUAUUAUAUUUGGGCUGGUGUUCUUCUCCAGCAACUGGAUUAUAGCAGCUGGUUUAUAUACGGAUGGAUUGGAGUCAGUUCGAUUCUGCUUAUUCGGGGUUCCCUUUUUUUGUCCAAAAAACCAUCCUAUCCUGUGGAAAUUUAUUUUACUCGUAGGCUACCUUCAACGAUUUGAUUGUAAUCUGCAGUUUUGGAGGCAUCGCCACAGAGAUAGGACUUUGCAGCUGAACUUGUCGGUGAAUGAUUGAUCGGACUUUAUCCUAUUCCACAUUAUUUGAUGAACGUUCAUGCUGUUUAAGUGUUCUAAGUGGUAACUAUCAAAUAAAUAGUUAUCAGAGGGUGGUCUUGCUGAUUGCAGAUCUCCAGGUGGUCUUGUGUUUGUUCAGUGUCUUCUAUCUUGAAGUAGAUAAUGAUUGGGGCCUUUAUUGCAGGUCUUCUCAUAUUUUUGGAUGAGCAUGUCACGCGGAAUAUGUGUUGAGUAAACUUAUCUAAUUUACAAAAUGCUAGUAUAUGAACCAUGAUAAAAUUCAGAUAAUUCUUAUUUAAUCUGCAGUGAUAGAAGACACCGGGCAUGUUUGGGAUGUGGGAGAUUUAAGCAGAUACGGGUAGAACUACAGUACUACAGUCUACAACUUUCAUUUAAUCGAACUUGUUUCUGCUUCGACUGAAGCUUUAAUUCUUGUGCUGUUGGAAUUUCUGUUCUGCAGAUCAUUUAGCUCAAAUAAUUGGUAGUCCAACGGUCACGAUACUUGUUUUGGUUUGGGAUUUCUGUGCUUUUGUCUACUUUAUCUAUGUUGUUGUGGUUGGCUGGUUGCUUUUACAUGUGGUUGUAUGGUAAGUUUGGCAAUUGGAAAUCCCUGUAGCGAAAACUGAUAUUUAAAACUGGGCCCUGGUCAGAAGUCAUUCUGGUUGUGUUGGUUUCAUCACUUGCUUCCAGUGAUUUCAGAUCUGAAUGGUUGGCUAACAUUCUGCCCUCUAUGGAUAUUGCUGGUAUAGCAGUAGUGAAGCACAAGAUCUGGAUCUAUUUGGUACUGUAUAUCAAAUCUAUUUGGUACUGUAUUUCAAAUGAUCAUAGUAUGUCGUUGUGUCCUUUAUGUACCAAGACUAUGUAUUCUCUUGAUGUAUCGCUCUUUGUAACCUUUUAAUAUAAAGUCUCCUUUAUCGAAAAGAGGUGCAGGACAUUGGAGGUGGAUUUUCCUCGCUCUCCGUUUAUUCAUCUCGGCGCGUUUGCGUUUUCCAUUUCUUCCUUCUUUGUACACUCCGUUUCGACUUCGAGUUGGGUCAGUUUCUUCUCUGGCUGAUCUCUUCUGCUGCUGUUGCGCUUUUGUGCUCUCGCAGAUCCCUUUGGGGCGUUCCGCUUUCCUGCGACCCGGGGAGUGAGCCUGAGUUGUGGCAGGGUUGGUUGGGUUUGUAGUUUGUUUUUUCCUGCAACCCGUCUAGUUUUUGUGUCGAAUCUUGUUUCGUCUUCGUUUUCUCUGUGCGUGGGUUGCAGGAUUGGGUCCGAUCUGGUGUUGGGGGUUCGUCGUGGUGCCGUGUGGCGAUCUGUUUGCCCAAGUUCGGAGGCAGGUCAGUAUUGUGUUAGAUCCUACGGCUUUCUGGUUUUGUCAAUUGGACAUGGAUUUGGUGGUUUCAGGCUCAAUUGUCUGUCCCUGGUGUGGUACCAUCAGAAUCAGAUAGCGCAGUCGUAGCUUGUGCACCAGGUGAAUUUGGAGACCUUUCUUCUUAUGUUAACGACUGAUCUCGCUUGUGGCCUUUUGGUUGUUUGUCCUCCUUAAACUUCAUCAGAUGCAGAAGGGUCCUUUCUGGUUAUGGAGAGAUCAGUUGAAGGGUGGAGGUUUGCUUAUGGCUCACUCGUCAUUUCUCAUUCUGAUAUCAUCAUAUUGGUGCGAAGAUUAUUAGAACCAGACUUGCUCUAAGCUUGAUUGGAGGUUUUGUCACUUGGACAUGGAUUUGGUGGUUUCAGGCUCAAUUGUCUGUCCCUGGUGUGGUACCAUCAGAAUCAGAUAGCGCAGUCGUAGCUUGUGCACCAGGUGAAUUUGGAGACCUUCGUUCUUAUGUUAACGACUGAUCUCGCUUGUGGCCUUUUGGUUGUUUGUCCUCCUUAAACUUCAUCAGAUGCAGAAGGGUCCUUUCUGGUUAUGGAGAGAUCAGUUGAAGGGUGGAGGUUUGCUUAUGGCUCACUCGUCAUUUCUCAUUCUGAUAUCAUCAUAUUGGUGCGAAGAUUAUUAGAACCAGACUUGCUCUAAGCUUGAUUGGAAAUGCUGCUGGCUCGAUCUGCAGGGGCAACAGAGUUUUGUAAAGUAGAUUGAGGCCUUGACUCGAAUGGAGUUUGUAGUAUCAUCGAUGAGAUCGUUUGGAUAAAUUUACCUAUCGUUCUUCACAUCCUUAAAUGUCUAUCUGCUGAUUGGAAAUGUUGCUGGUUGGAUCUGCAGGGGCAACCGAGUUUUGGAAAGUAGAUUAAGGCCUUGACUCGACUCGUUCAUAGUAUCGGCGAUAAAAUCGUUUGAAUUAAUUUACCUAUCGCCCUUCAAAUUCUUAGAUUUCUAUCCGCUGCCAUUUUAAUUUCUUAUGUUGGGAUGGUGGUUUUCUCCAGCAACUCGAUUUGUGGAUGGAUGGGUUGGAGGCGAGUUAGAUCCUGCUUCUGCUUUUGCCAUCAGAAGUUUGGAAAUGUUCAGAGUUGUUUGUUCACUAACCAUCCUCCUGUCAAUGAUCUUUGAAAAUGAACUGCACACAUAGGCCCCCUUUAAUGCUUGGUUAGUGAAUCUGCAGAGUUUGUCUGGCUAGAUGCAAAAUGAAAGGUCCUUGCUGGUUUUGUCCUCCUAGAUGCGGAAGGAAAGGUCCUCUGGUUAUGGAGAGAUCCGUUGAAGGGUGGAGGUUUGCUUAAAUUCGUUGGUUUUGAUUUGUUACAUGGCUAUUCUUAUGUUAAUCAUGGUGGCGUGAAGAUUGCCACCCGAUUAAUUAGAAACUUGAUUGUCCUUGAUUGGAAAAAUGUAGAGGCAACAGAGGUGAUGUUUUGGACGUAGAUUGAAGCUUUGACUGGACUAAGUUCAUGGCAUGCCGAUAACAUCGUUUGGAUAUAUGUAUCUCUCACUUAUUGGUACUCAAAUUUCUUGUUUCUUAUAUUCGGGCUAGUAUUUUUUUUCCAGCAACUGGAUUGUAUAUGGAUAGAUGUCUUCUCAUAUUUUUGGGUGGGCUUGUCACGCAGAAUAUGUUUAGAGUAAACUUAUCCAAUUUACAAAAUGCUAGUAUAUGAACCAUGAUAAAAUUCAGAUAAUUCUUAUUUAAUCUGCAGCGAUAGAAGUCACUGGGCAAGUUUGGGAUGUGGGAGAUUUAAGCAGAUAUUGGUAGAACUACAGCCCUACAACUUUCAUUUAAUCAAACUUGUUUCUGCUUUAUCAUGCUAUAUGCUUCGACUGGAGCUUUAAUUCUUGUGCUGCUGGAAUUUCUGUGUCUGCAGAUCAUUUGGCUCAAAUAAUUGGUAGUCCAACGGUCACGAUACUUGUUUUGGUUUGGGAUUUCUGUGGAUGCUUUUGUCUAGCUUUAUCUAUGUUGUGGUUGCUUUUACAUGUGGUUGUAGGGUAAGUUUGGCAAUCAAAAAUCCCUGUAGCGAAGAACUGAUAUUUAAAACUGGGGGCAGGCUCAUCGGAUGCAAGAUAUGUCAUUCGGCCAGGCUCCACAGAUACGCCGGUGGAGCGCGUAUUGGCGCGUGCAGGCUCCAAGCUUGCCGCCCGCAUGCAGCAGCGCCAAAUACAAAAUAUUAUUUUAAUUUGUUUUUUAUUAUAUCUUUUAAUUAAACGAUUUAAUUACUAAACUAAUUUCAUAUUUAUGUUUCUAAGAUUUUUAUGAACAAAACUAAACCAUUGAUACUUAUAUAUAUUUGAACAUUUAUUUAUGUACCCUUAUGUUUUAAUUUACACAACCAAACAUAGUCUAUAUCUAGUAUGCAUGAGUUUGUGCAAACAACCAAACAAAUAUGACUUGCAUGAGCUCAAUCGGGUGCUACUUAUCCUGGCUCAUGUCGAGCAGUCUGGCUACGCUGCUACGGCAACCAAUCAGAUGGAUUCCGGUUGUGUUGCUGCAAAAUGAAAGGUACCUUCUGGUUUUGUCCUCCUAGAUGUGGAAGGAAAGGUCCGCCUUGUUAUGGAAAGAUCAGUUGAAGGGUGGAGGUUUGCUUACUUUCGUUGGUUUUGAUUUGUUAUAUGACUGUUCUUAUGUCAAUCAUGGUGGCGUGAUGAUUGCCACCUGAUUAAUUAGAAGCCUAAUUGUCCUUGAUUGGAAAAAUGAUGUAGAGGCAACAUAGGUGAUGUUUUGGACGUAGAUUGAAGCUUUGACUGGAUUGCAAAUGGAUGGAUUGGGGCCUGAGUUCGAUUCUGCUUCUGCGUCAGCAAUAAUAAGUUCUGAACUCUUCAGGGUUCCUUGUUUGUUCAAAAAAAACCAUCCUAUAUGUCAAAUGUUCUUCGAAAUUUAGUUCACUUGUAGGCUACCUUCAAUGAUUCGAUUGUAAUCUGGAUUUAUUUGGUACUGUAUAUCAAAUGAUCAUAGUAUGUGGUUGUGUCCUUUAGAGGUGCAGGUUGGAGGUGGAUUUUCCUCGCUCUCCGUUUAUUCAUCUCGGCGCGUUUGCGUUUUCCAUUUCUUCCUUCUUUGUACACUCCGUUUCGACUUCGAGUUGGGUCAGUUUCUUCUCUGGCUGAUCUCUUCUGCUGCUGUUGCGCUUUUGUGCUCUCGCAGAUCCCUUUGGGGCGUUCCGCUUUCCUGCGACCCGGGGAGUGAGCCUGAGUUGUGGCAGGGUUGGUUGGGUUUGUAGUUUGUUUUUUCCUGCAACCCGUCUAGUUUUUGUGUCGAAUCUUGUUUCGUCUUCGUUUUCUCUGUGCGUGGGUUGCAGGAUUGGGUCCGAUCUGGUGUUGGGGGUUCGUCGUGGUGUCGUGUGGCGAUCUGUUUGCCCAAGUUCGGAGGCAGGUCAGUAUUCUGUUAGAUCCAACGGUUCAUUGGUUUUGUCACUUGGACAUGGAUUUGGUGGUUUCAGGCUCAAUUGUCUGUCCCUGGUGUGGUACCAUCAGAAUCAAAUAGCGCAGUCGUAGCUUGUGCACCAUGUGAAUUUGGAGACCUUCGUUCUUAUGUUAACGACUGAUCUCACUUGUGGCCUUUUGGUUGUUUGUCCUCAAACUUCAUCAGAUGCAGAAGGGUCCUUUCUGGUUAUGGAGAGAUCAGUUGAAGGGUGGAGGUUUGCUUAUGGCUCACUCGUCGUUUCUCAUUCUGAUAUCAUCGUAUUGGUGCGAAUAUUAUUAGAACCAGACUUGCUCUAAGCUUGAUUGGAAAUGCUGCUGGCUCGAUCUGCAGGGGCAAUAGAGUUGUGUAAAGUAGAUUGAGGCCUUGACUCGACUGGAGUUCGUAGUAUCAUCGAUGAGAUCGUUUGGAUAAAUUUACCUAUCGUUCUUCACAUCCUUAAAUGUCUAUCUGCUGAUUGGAAAUGUUGCUGGUUGGAUCUGCAAGGGCAACCGAGUUUUGGAAAGUAGAUUAAGGCCUUGACUCGACUCGAGUUCAUAGUAUCGGCGAUAAGAUCGUUUGAAUUAAUUUACCUAUCGCUCUUCAUAUUCUUAGAUUUCUAUCCGCUGCCAUUUUAAUUUCUUAUGUUGGGAUGGUGGUUUUCUCCAGCAACUCGAUUUUUGGAUGGAUGGGUUGGAGGCGAGUUAGAUCCUGCUUCUGCUUUUGCUAUCAGAAGUUUGGAAAUGUUCAGAGUUGUUUGUUCACUAACCAUCCUCCUGUCAAUGAUCUUUGAAAAUUAACUGCACACAUAGGCUCCCUUUAAUGCUUGGUUAGUGAAUCUGCAGAGCUUGUCUGGCUAGAUGCAAAAUGAAAGGUCCUUGCUGGUUUUGUCCUCCUAGAUGCGGAAGGAAAGGUCCUCUGGUUAUGGAGAGAUCCGUUGAAGGGUGGAGGUUUGCUUAAAUUCGUUGGUUUUGAUUUGUUACAUGGCUAUUCUUAUGAUCAUGGUGGCGUGAAGAUCGCCACCCGAUUAAUUAAACUUGAUUGUCCUUGAUUGGAAAAAUGUAGAGGCAACAGAGGUGAUGUUUUGGACGUAGAUUGAAGCUUUGACUGGACUAAGUUCAUGGGCAUGCUCUCUUUUAUUGGUACUCUUGAAUUUGUUGUUUCUUAUUUUUGGGCUGGUGUUCUUCUCCAGCAACUGGAUUGUAAAUGGAUGGAUUGGUGCCUGAGUUCGAUUCUGCUUCUGCGUCAGCAAUAAUAAGUUCUGAACUCUUCAGGGUUCCUUGUUUGUUCAAAAAAAAAACCCAUCCUAUAUGUCAAAUGUUCUUCUAAAGUUAGUUCACUUGUAGGCUACCUUCAAUGAUUCGAUUGUAAUCUGCAGUUUUGGAGGCAUCGCAAUGGAGAUAGGACUUUGCAGUUGAACUUGUUGGCGGAUGAUUGGACUUCCUAUCCCACAUUAUUUGACGAAUGUUCGUGCUGUUUAAGUGUUCUCUGUUCUCACUAUCAAUUGGAUAGUUACCAGAGGUUGGUCUUGCUGAUUGCAGAUCUCUAGGUGGGAUACUUGCAUGGGCACAGAAGGAUCCAGAUCUAUUCAAACCUACAACAACCUUUAACUCAUUGUGUUUGUUCAGUGUCUUCUACCUGGAAGUAGAUAAUGAUUGUGGUCAUUGUUGCAGGCCUUCUCAUAUUUUAGCAUGGGCUUGUCACACGGAAUAUGUGUGGGGAGUACUAAACUUUGUGUUUGUUCAGUGUCUACUACCUGGAAGUAGAUAAUGAUUGGGGUCAUUGUUGCAGGCCUUCUCAUAUUUUUGCAUGGGCUUGUCACACGGAAUAUGUGUGGGGAGUACUAAACUUAUCUAAUUUACAAAACGCCUAUGAGUUGUUUUGUGCUUCAACAAUCUAAAUUACAAGGGUGCUUCUAAUUCAUUUCUGUCAACAGUCCUAUCCAGUUUCUUUCUUCAACCAGUAGCUCUUUGUGCUGCAACAAUCUAAAUUACAAGGAUGCUUCUAAUCCUUCAUUUCUGCCAACAGUCCUAUCCAGUUACUUUCUUCAACCAGUCUUUCAAGUUUGUGCAGGUGUGGCACACAGAAGCUGAGAUAGAAUCUCCAACCAUCGGUGCUGUCUUCAAAGCCCAUCCCUGUUCCAUUGGCCAUUUGAUUUGCCUUGAAUUUGAAGGUUUUUUAAGCCUAUCACUGAACCAAAAUAGACAAAUCAUCAUAGAUGGUCUCUUUAGUAAAUGUAGGUUUUGCACUUGAAACUUUAAAGUUCAGUCUGAUCCUGAUCAUAAUGUGUGCCUAUCUUCUGAAAUUUAGUACCUUCAAUUUUGCUAGCCAGAGAACUUUCAGAUAGUGUGCAUAGUGUGUAUUGAAGCUUGAUUACUUGGACUGAUCUACUGUUUCAGAUGCUUUGAAUCCUCCAUGCUAUAGUUAUAUGAUCUACAUGAUCACAACCGAGACGAUACAUUGUCCAGAGAUUGCACUAACUACUGUUCCUGAAUAUUGACUGCAUAUCACUUUCCAUUUCAAUUGUUUGAUUUGGAUUUUUGGUGGUUUGCUUGGUUUCCAGUUAUUUGAGAGAAUUAAUGCUUGGAUGUUAGGAGUGAGGAGGCACUCAAAUACUCUUUGCUCAUACUGCCAUUUUACAUUGGAAAUUGGAUCCAUUUGGAGCUAAGGUUAGGCUACUCCUUUGCACUACCUUUAUUUUGAAGCUGUCCUUAUUAAUCUGCAUGCCUCAUCUGAUGGCUCAGGUCCACUAUUUGCGCUGAUAUCCAGCAAGAACUCUUUCUUGACAUACAUACCUUCAUUGAGCAAAAUUGUUUUGUUACUGAAAUUGUAGGUACUUGAGCAUAUGUGCAUCGUAUUCUUUAUGGUCCCAAAUACCCAAAUUUUCUUUUAGGACCCCUACUAAUGUUUAAUCUAGUUUCUGGUUUGCUUCUAAUUUUACUUUCUGUGGUAUAACCCCUAGUCCACUUACUGGUUCAGUUAUGCAUUAUUAGUAUAAGGCUGUUGACUGCAUUGUUUAUGAAAGUCAAGAAAGGAUGUUAGUGCUUCUGUGCAUGCCAAAAGAAAAUCUCUCUGAACAAACUUGGCUUCUAUGUGCUUAUUGUUUGACCAUUUCUGUCGUGGACUAGCAGUAGUGCCUUAUAUACAUGGAUUUUCAAUUUAUCACAAGUUUGGGUUCAAGUUGACUCAUCCUAAUUUAUAGAUCAAAUAAGGUUGUGCUAAAGUCAGUGGAAGCUUAGUGCUUGCUUAAAUCUGUUACAACUGGGUUUCUUGAAUCUUGACCUUGAGUGAACUUGAAUGGUUGGUUCCAUUUGUGUCAUCUGUACAGCUUGGUGUUUGGUCAUGCAAGCUAGGAUAUGAUUGCUUCUGUUUCUGUAAUUCUGUACUAUCUCCAAAUUAGCAUGUUCAUUCAUCUUGUUAUAAUGGUGAUUGAGUAGUUAGGCUAAUUUAACACUAGGAUUGCAUUUGGUUAGGUCCUUGCAAAAUUGUCCAGGUAACAUUGGCGAUGACAAUAGUACCUUAACCUAGCUAGGAUAUGUUUGGUCAUGCAAGCUAGGAUGUUGGAAGUCUUAACUGUACAUAAGAUUGCACGAGUGUACAUUGUACACUGGCUGUUUUUUUAGCUUUGCACUUGCUCAAAUUUCUAUGGAUCUUUGUUGAUGGUAUGAUUUUUAUUAAAGCUGGUUCCUGUUGCUGUUCAGUCCUCGAGAUCAUUAGGUUAUUCGAAUUAGGUAUACAAGUGCUCUGACCAUUCAACUAAUAUGUUCGACGCAGAACCGGUUAUACGAUUUGUUUUUUUUUUCAAAUUAUGUCUGGGAACACGAUUUCUUUGUGUAAUUGUUUGUAUUUCCUGAUUUGUUGUUUGUUUGCGGUUUAACACUGCCUUUGCCGGUCCAAGCCCGGAUGAGAAAUGUGGAGGGAACUGCAGUGUUUCUCACUCCCAUAAUUGGCAUCAGGCUACCGGGAAGAAAUGUUGUUUGGUCAAAACAGCUAGACUCAGAGCGCAGAGGGCGUAACCUAAUCAUCAAGCGGCAGUACAGUCAUGCCUCCAGCCGUGUCUGGUAGCCUGGUAGUGGUAGUAAUACUAGUUGUUUUGGAGACUGCAUGCAAGUUCUUUUCAAGGAGUGCUGAACAAGUUUAUUUAUCAAGUCCUUUUUAGGAGUGCUGAACAAGUUUAUUUAUCUCAUUACGCGCUGAAGAACUCAA